UACGGAGGGUGCAAGCGUUAAUCGGAAUCACUGGGCGUAAAGCGCACGUAGGCGGCCCGGUAAGUCAGGGGUGAAAUCCCACAGCCCAACUGUGGAACUGCCCUUGAUACUGUCGGGCUUGAGUACCGGAGAGGGUGGCGGAAUUCCAGGUGUAGGAGUGAAAUCCGUAGAUAUCUGGAGGAACACCGGUGGCGAAGGCGGCCACCUGGACGGUAACUGACGCUGAGGUGCGAAAGCGUGGGUAGCAAACAGG
rnacentral:rRNA from 1 species